UGGUCAGAUAGGAUAAUCCUUACCUGUUCCUCCUUCGGGAGGGCAGAAUAGAAAAUGAUGAUUGGAGCUUGGAUAUAUUACCUUUAUUAUGAUGAGGUGUAUUCCUUCUAUAUUCAUUUUGUU
ensembl:snoRNA U8 U8 small nucleolar RNA